rnacentral:rRNA from 1 species
UACGGAGGGUGCAAGCGUUGUUCGGAAUUACUGGGCGUAAAGGGCGCGUAGGCGGUUUGAUAAGUCAGAUGUGAAAGCCCACGGCUUAACUGUGGAAGUGCAUUUGAAACUGUCAGACUUGAGUAUCAGAGGGGAAAGUGGAAUUCCCGGUGUAGAGGUGAAAUUCGUAGAUAUCGGGAGGAAUACCGGUGGCGAAGGCGACUUUCUGGCUGAAUACUGACGCUGAGGCGCGAAAGCGUGGGGAG